CGAUCGAUGUAUUGAGAUCGACGGGUCGAUCGCGAUCCAUGUGUUGAGAUCGACUGGUCGAUCGCGAUCCAUGUAUUGAGAUCGACUCGUCGAUCACGAUCGAUGUAUUGAGAUCGACUCGUCUCAAUCUUAAGGCAGAGGAAAUCAAUCAAUGCAGUCAACAGCAAACACACACACAAGUGUAUACUGAAACAUGGUUGUGAGACUAAAGCAGGACACCUGGUCGGCUUUGAGCUGAAAUUGUAAUUCGCUUGGACUGAUAAUUCUGAAGAUUUUCUAGAUUUCAAAAACAUUACGAGAGAAAUGUUUGAAAUUUGUCUGAUUUUGUCUGAUUUUCUGAUUUGAAUGUGCUUUCAUCAGUUUUGAAAGCAGUGGAAAGCAGUAGAUUGUGUUAGCAUAUGAAAAAUAUCCUGCAGAUGUACAGUUUUUGCAGUUUGUGGAGUAUGAAUGACGAAAGUGUUUGUGGAUUUUGUCUGAAAGCAAUGAAAAAUUAUUUAAAGUUAGGUCUGUAUACACUCGCUGAAUGUGUGAAGAGUUUUGAAAAUGUGGUUUAAGUAUUGAACAAUGCUUGUUAGCAAUUGAAAAAACAUAUGAAAUAAAUAAUCAAUAACAUCUGAAUGCGAACACAACAUUUAAAUAACAGAAAAACCAACAUAAUUGAAAUGUGUACAUUUUUGAGAAUGAUAAAUGACAAAAAGAAUGAUACAAACGCAACUAAGCAAAAAAACAAACAAACAAGGAAGGAAUUGAAGUGGAAAGGAAGAAGUUGCUGUGACACCUUGGUCCUACAUCCACAGUGGUGCCUUUUUUUACUUAAAACUGCUGCUUGCGGCCUCGGCUUCUGCAAAUGCGGCCACUAUGACGUCUUCCAUACCUAAGGACCUCCGAACAUCUCUUUCUAUUGAAAUCAGUGGCAGUCCUCUCCUGGCACAUGGUUCACCUCAAGUAGGGUUUGAUCAACUCGGAAGCAGAAAAGCUCCUCUAGACAUCUUCCAGUUUUAAGAAUCCGUCAUUCAGGCUUCUAAGGGUCUGCUUAGAGUCUGUGUCUACUAAAGGGAGAAGGAACUCCCUUCUGAAGGACUCUCGUGGACUGGACUGGGUUUCUGCUGCUCCCUCGUGCUGUUGCCUUUUCUCUCGGAGCUCCAUUUCAAUUUCCAGUUCUGCUGCAAGUUCUACAGCAUCAGCUUGACAUGAAGCAAGCCCACUGUCCCUGUUUUCCAGCUACUGCCUCGCUCACCGUGUGUCUGUGGUUUCCAGAGAAACAUCUUGACUUUGCAGCAGCUUGCUCACGAGGGGAACCUGGAACAAGCUCAGAGAGAUGUGUCCACUAUGAGGGGCCCCGUUAGGGAGAUUCCCCACGUGUCAUCGCGGUGUCCCGGAGAGCUUAAGUCUGGGCUACAAAGCCACAUAUACCAUUUGAACUUGUAAAGCAAACGGCAAAAUAUGUCCACCCUGUCGUGGACAAAUUCAAAGCAGAGUAAAUACAUUGUAAAUACAUAGUGAUUCUAAAAUGUACAUUUUCAGAAAGCUAUUGGGUCCCUUUGUCAAUAUAUUUUAGUUAAUGGGAAAAGUAUUUGGAAAAUAAUGAAAUUAUGGC
ensembl:lncRNA